AUUUCCUGGUAGUUUUUCACUAACUUUGAUUCCUGGAGAAAGGCUGUAGUGGAAUUCAUAAGCAAAGCUAAAUGGCAUCCUGAUCUCCUGUUAACUUUGAGAAAACCUAUUGGCUUUUUUUUUUCUUUUCUUUUUUUUUUUUUGAGACAGAAUCUUGCUCUGUCGCCAAGGCUGGAGUGCAGUGGCUUGAUCUCAGCUCACUGCAGCGUCCGCCUCCUGGGUUCAAGCAGUUCUCCCACCUCAGCCUCCCGAGAAGCUGGGACUAUAGGUGUGCACCACCACACACGGCUAAUUUUUGCGUUUUUAAUAGAGAUGGAGUUUCACCAUGUUGACCAGGCGGGUCUCAGAACUGCUGACUUCAAGUGAUCCGCCCACCUUGGCCUCCCAAAGUGCUGGGAUUCCAGGCAUGAGCCACCUCAUCCAGCCAAGAAAAUUUGUUCUCUAAUAGUAACAGGUCAUAUGUAUAUCUUGUUGAUUGAAUAAAUAGCCAGCAAUAUCAGAACUGGGACUUACUUAAUGACCUGGAAGGUAUUAAUGAAAGCCAGACUGGCUGUAGUUAUAUUUAGCACCAAGACCAACUUCAGAAUUUCAAAUGGGUAUCUAUCUGACUUACAAGGUGCCCUCAGUUGCUUUGGGGUUCUAUCUAGCUGUGUUCUGCCUGGGAUUAGUUACAGAAUUUAGUUGCUGUUCAGUCAAAGCCAGUGGGUGAUAGCAGCAGUAAUCUUCAGGUCAUUUCAGCUGCCUUUUUCCUCCCGGUUGUUAUUCUUGAUCCUUUAUUUUUGACACAGUUGGAUAAACUUCCAAACUGUUCUAGCUUUUGCUGGUUCUGUUUGAUCCAUAAUUCCGUGUAUUUUGUUGGCCCUAUAACACCUCUUCCCAUGUCUUUUUAUCCCUCAUUAGGGGCUUCAUCCAUUGGUUGGGGCUCUACUGGAUUUUAAUAUACUCUCAAGUCAUAUCUCUAACCCCAGUCUUUCAGUCUACAAUCUCGUAUGUGCCUCCAGAUCACAUGAAACUUGAUAAUGUUAAAAGACAGUUACAAGCAUUUGUUCACUUAGAAACAUGUAGUGAAUAUCAGUGUUCCAGGCACUGGCACUGUGCAGUCACGGGUAUACAGGGGGAACAUUUGGCAAAGGAAAGAAAACCUUAUAGGCUUAGCCAUGAAAAUUGUGAGUUUGAGAAACACCUUUUGAUCCCACCAAUUGAAAUCUUAAUAGUUCUUUUUGUUGAAUUUUCUGUUAAGUCGUGGUGAUUCUUCUCUAUGAUGUCUUUUUCUUAAUAUCUCUAGUCAUUAAUCCAAUAUCCUAAGGUGGUGUUUUUUAACCUUUCUUUUAGGAUAAUGACUUGGAACCAAUGUAGAAAAAAAUACCAGACCAGCCAUAAGAAAUAACAGCUAUAGUUUAGUACUUGAUUGGAGUUGUAAUCAGUUGAUUAGAAAACUUACAUUAAAAAGAUUCUAGGAAUUCAGCAAUAUUUUGUAAGUGAAUUAUCUUUUAUUAAUUACAACAGCUUUUAUAUCAGAUUCAGACUAUUUUGAAUGUUAGAAGGUCAUUUUUAUGUUAGAUAUUCUAGGUACUGAAAAUACGACAGUGAGUAAGACAGGCUCUCUCCUAUGGAGCUAAUGUUCUGUUAAAGGAGACAAAAUUAAUUCAUAUUUAGUCUAAUAUAUUCCAAAAUCCAAGACUUAAUAGGGUAGGAAGCACUGCUGUGGGCCUUAAAAGUUGGUUGCUAGAUUAUUAUUCCUCUUCCUCGUCAUCCUGCCCAAUCCCUCAUACUACCCUAUUUGUCCUACGCAGUUGUCAUAAUCAUCACACAGACACCCACAUGCCUACUAUGUCAUGGUGUCAAGUUUAAAUUCUUGAAGUUUGAGAACUUUCAUAUACUUCCUUGGCAUCUUAUGUUUCCUUUAAACCUUUUAUUAAUUUCCCAAUCUGUCUGCAAUUCUGCCUAAGACUUUUCUGUCAUCCUUAGGAAGGUGAUGCUGAUUUUUUUCCCCAUACUUUGGUCCACCUUUCUUUAACCCAUUACUUUCUAGCAAUUAUUUUGGCAGUUAUUUCAUUUUCCUAAGACAAAGAUUGGAAUGUGUUGUCACUGAUGAAAUAAUAGAAAUAUAUGGUUGAGUCAUGUACAAAAUAACUUACAGGCCCCAACCAGUGGCCCUCUUCAGGGGGUAUUUGGAAUUAUUUAAGUGACAGACAACAAAUUUGGACUGAAUCUUAAUAUCUAGAUUCUGUGGGUAACAAAAUCUGUAAAUAGAAAAUAAUAAAAUGGUUAGGAUUAGUCCAUAUGAGAGUUUGCGUUCAGAGGUUUGGAGGGCAAAACUGACGAUUUCCUGCUCUUGACUAUUAUAGAGCAGUCUCUUGCUUCACAGUUGUCAAAAUCCCACUUCAUGAACGAUCACAGACCAAAUGGCAGAAAACAACCCAGUUGUUUUCCCAGUUGUUUCUAUUCCUAAAAAUUGCAUAGGUGGGUACAUAUCGUAUUCUGUUGUGUUUUCUGAAAGCAAAGGUACUGUCAUGUUAUUGUGGUCUAUGUGCAUAUCGCUGUAGUUAUCCAUGCUAUAGGUAAAACUGUUGAAAAGAAUUAUUUAAUUGUGGUGAUAAACUGCCUUAGACGGAGUCUGUUAGACGUGCCUUCUUAUGGUGUUUAUGCCUUAGCUGUCUCUUCCUGAGGAAAUGUAUGAAUAAGAAAGGCUUCUUGAUAUUUUGACCUUAGACUUGAUAUCUAAUGCAACACCCUUCCUCCCCCAUUUAUAGGAAUAGUACUCAUUCAUUGAGUACUAUUAUAUGCCAGACACACGACGCUAGGUGGUUUGUAUUAUCUUUAUAUCCACAAUAACCUUGAUUUAGGUAGUAGUAUCCCUGUUUUACUGUGAGAAAACUGAGGCCCAGAAAGGUUAAGUGAUAAUUGUAUGGCUAGUUUGUGAUAACUAUAGAUACUACAACUAAAAAUUUACCUUUCUGGUUCUUUUUUUUCAUUCUUACCUUUCUCUAGCAAUACAUAUUUAGCUCUUUAGAGCUAGUUACAAUAUAUUUUUUAUGUUAGACUUACUGUGUGGGGAGUUUUGAAUUUAAAAACUAAAAAAAAAAAACACCAGAAGGUUUAUUCUAAAGGUUUAAAUUUUUAAAAUUUAAUCUGCUGUUGUGUGCUUCUGUUACCCCUGACCUUAGUUAGCAUUGCAGGAUACUUUCUUUUCCAUAUUUUGUGAUUGAUAUAUGUGUGAUUCUUUGUAUGUACAAAAGCUUGAGCUUGAGUUUUUUAGAGGAAAGGAAUAAAAUAAAUUAAGUUGGUUGAAUUAAGUAUGUCUUGGUGGAUUUGGUUAUCCCCACAGCAAACUUGAGCAUUCAGUUUACCCAUGAUUAAGGGUGCUGAUACUAUAUUUAAGGGCGUUCUGCCUUCCAUCUCUUUUCUAAUAUCAAUAGUAUUAAUUGAUGCCAGGCAAGAGGAGUGCUGCCAUAUUUGGGUCAGCUACUUCGUCAAGAGUAUUUUGCAGAAUGUACCUGAAGCUAUUCUGAAAGUUAAAUAUCAUUAGAUACAUUGUCAAACCCUGAAGCUGAAAUUCCAGCCAUUCAGGGAGCCCCUCAGGGAGAUCACUGCUUUUCCCUUGCAAAAAUAAAAAUAGUGUAUAAAAUACUAUUUAAAUAUAUACUCUUAUCUAAUUCUAAUAGCUAGUAUUUGUUAAGUGCUUAGUAAGUGCCAAGUGCUGUUCAAAUUGCUUUUUAGGCUCACACCUGUAUAAUCCCAGCACUUUCUGAGGCCAAGGUGAGAGGACUGCCAUCUUGAAAUUUUUUUUUUAAAGUACUUUUUAGGUGUUCUUUAAAAUAAUAAUUCCACUUUACAGAUGAAGACACUGAGGUGCAGGGAGGUUUAAUUCACCUUUUUUUUUUUUUUCAAGUUUACAGCAAGUAUUUAGUCAUUGAGCUAUCAUUCAAAUCAUAAUAACUAGUCUUUACAAAAUAGAGCCCCAAAGUGCUAUAGAUAAAAGGUUUUCAUUUUGCUUUGCUUUUUAACUUUGGUGUUGUCUCUUUUCCUUUCUUUCUUCUCCCCUCAUCUUCUCUCUACCCUAUGGUCUGUUUUGGAUUUUUCUCGUUAUAUAUAAGCUUUAACUUUUGCUUUUCUUCUUUUUUUCUCCCCCUUUCUUUUUGAAUGGUUUUAGCAUCCUUGGGCGCAGAAAACUCUGGAAAUGUAUUCAUAAGUUUAGAAAUUAUAUAAGACACUUCAGAAUGAUAAUACUUAAUUAUUUUAGAAAUUUCCAUUUUGAAUUAUAUUGUUUAGGGGGAGGGCUAUUAAAGUGUUCUCUGCCAAUUUAUGAUACAUUUUAGAUUUCCCAGUUUUUUUCUGGAUAUCUGUCAGGAGAUGGUGUAGAGGUUUGGUAAGUAAUACAGUUUGAUUUUGUAUGUCUCAAGGGUUACUCAUUCAGUCACAUAUUUGAGUUUAUUUUAUUCUGGCCUUUUUCCCCUCUGGGGAUUCUAUUUAUAGUAUUAAUUGAAAAUCUUUAUGUUAAUGCUAAUUUUGAUUUUUUUUUCCACUAGCAUGUAUUGGAGCACUCAGGCUUGAAGAAGGACAUAGGUAAAAAGUAUAAAAUGGAACAUUUUCUAACAUUAGGGUUGUGAAAAUUUUCUUAUUGUUUAGUUGCAUACUUGGCAUGUUCAAUCUGAAAAAAAAUUGUUUAUGAAACAAUUUAAAUGAUAUUGUUUAAGCCAAAACAGUUACUUAUAUUUCAUUUCUCUUUUAUUUUUAUAAAUAGAGCAUCAAUUCCCUUAAUCACAAAGGUCAAGAAAGGUUAUCUCAUGUUACAUUAGGACAUACUUAGGACUUCGUAGUAUUUCCCUUCUGUGUGAAAUUUUAUCCAGAAGACUUGAAUUACUUAAUCGUAAAGUGAAUAGCAAACGUGAAUCUAAAACAUGGUUUCAGUUUUUCAGAAUCAGGCCUGCUUUGUCCCUAAAUGCUUUCUUAUUUCCCCAGAGCCCUUAUUGGAUUUAAGCCCCAUAUCAUAUCUCACAUACCUGAGACAGACAUACCACAGUGAACCCUGCAUGUCCUUGUAAGUUCUUUUCCGUGCCUAGAAGUUGCAGAAGACCAAGGAACCUUGGAAGUGACUUACUCUUUUGCUUCAUAAAGUUGCUUUAAAACAGCCUUUAUUUUAAUUAUUAACAAGGUAUGUCACACAUUUUUAAAUUUUAAGGUUAAUUUAGUCAUUAAUUCUGUCAAACAAGUGUUCUUUGGAAACUAGUUGUCUUCAAUGUCUUUUACUUGGAGUUACUUGAAGUUUGCUUAAACUUUAUUCACUUGGAGUAGAACUUCCUAGUUAAAUGAUUGAAAAGGACUAGUUCUGCAAAAUCUAUGAGAACAAGAGCUUCUGCAAAUGCAUAAUAUAAAUUCUCUUCCUUUUUUUUUUAAACUGUAUUUUUACAAACCUAGAUCUCUUCCUGCUUUGAUUUGUCUUUAUCAUAUCUUUCAGAACAAACCUUUGAUGGAAUUCUAGGAAAGGUUGAGAUUAAGAAUAUAUUAAAAAUAUUCCACUUUGUACAUUCUGUUUAUAUUAUAGUAAACUAAGUUAUUUAGCAAGAUAAAAUUAGGAAUUUCACCCAAGGUAUCAAUCAGAUGGAACCAUUAGUCCACUGAAGAAUUUACUUUUUAAAAAAGUUAGUGGAGGAAAGGAGAAGAUGCUGCUUAAGAGUAAUCAGAAAUAAAGAUGGUAAGCAUCAUAUGGUAAAUAUAUACAAGUUUCGUCAAUUUUGUAAAAAAAAAAUACAAAGAUGGUAAGGCAUCUUUGAAAUUGUUGUCAGUAGGAAAUUUCAUCUGAUAUAUAUAUAUAUAAAUUUGUUUCAUAAAGCAAGGAGAAAUGGUGUAAAUAAUACAAGUGUGGCUAUUGACAUAUGAAAAUGUCCAUUUAUUUUGAAAGUGACUACCCCCACAGAUUAUAUAACUGUAGAAUCGAAUACAAAUUUUCUCACUUUUCUUCCUUGCUUUGGCAUUUUUUUAAAAGUUACUUGAAAGUUCAGUUUAGAUUGAAAAAUAAGGGCCUGAUUAAUAGCGCUGUAUCAUGGUAUUAGAGUACAUAUGUUAGUAUUUUCAUGAAAGAGGAAGAGGGUAAUAACUGAUUUACCUAUGAUUAAAAGAUAGUGGUGACAUUUUCCUUUGAAAGUUUGGGCUAGAAAUUUAUAACCUUUGGCCAAUGAAACUACAGUAGCUUCAGUCACUGCUUCCAUGCCACAUCUCUACCUAAAGGGAAGAUGGAAUCCGCCUUCUCUUUUUUUUUUUUUUUUUUUUUUCUGAGACUGAAUCUCACUCUGUCGCCCGGGCUAGAGUGCAGUGGCAUAAUCUUGGCUCACUGCAACUUCCACCUUUCAGGUUCAAGCAGUUCUCCUGCCUCAGCUUCCUGAGUAGCUGGGACUACAGGUGCCUGCCACCACACCUGGCUGAUUUUUGUCUUUUUGGUAGAGAUGGGGUUUCACUGCGUUGGUCACGCUGGUCUCGAACUUUUGACCUCAGGUCAUCCACCCGUCUCAGCCUCCCAAAGUUCUGGGAGUACAGGCGUGAGCCACCAUGCCCAGCCUGAAUCCCCCUUCUCAAAAGUAACUUCCAUUCACUUUGUCCCUGGCAGUCUGCUGGUGACCAUGAUUUCUAAGGCUCACUCAUGGGACCAAAGGCAAGAAGAAAGGGAGGAGGGUGGUAACCAGAUAAACUUUGCAACCCCUUUGAUAGGACUUUUUGGGUGAGAAUUUUUAUGAAAAGUAAUAUAUACUUCUACUAUAGAUCUGCCUCUAGUUUCAACCUCUAGUUUUAGCACUGAUUUUUUCCCCUUAAUUUCCAGAAGCAUGAUAUAAUAUCUUUUUCAAAGAAAGUGGGAAGAAUGUCCACAGAUGUUAGGAGAAGACAAUUAUGUAGGAAAAAUAUUUUCUCAAAUUAAAAUUUAAAACAAAAGUUUGCAGGGAAUGGAGUGGGGUUCAGCAUUAGGGAGGUAGGAGAUGAUAAAAAUACAUAUUAAGUAAUUUGUACCCUGAUAUGCUUUGUAUGUAGAUUGCUUACAACUAACAUGAAAUGAGCAUUUCAUUCCUUAAGCAUGCUGUUGGGGGAAAAUGGGAGCCAGGCUGGAUGCACAAAUUUACACCAGAUGCUCUGUAUCCAGGUAGCAGAAAUGACUAACAGCACUGGUAUCCAUCAGUCCCAGAGCAAAAGCGUCUCCAGAGGAGGACAUCUGUAAAUCCCAAAUCUGAUCUCCUUCAUCAUCAUUAGGCAACAGAUAGGAUAAGACUUCAUGAAGAGAAUUUUGGUGGCUUUAGAUUGUUGAGAAAGUAUAUAUAGGAAAAAACUGGAAAUUAUGUCCAAGAUUUUUUGUCUAACUCCUUAUCCUGAUAUUGUUAACAUUUCACAACUAAAAUAAUUUUAACAGACAAUUAGUUUUUAAAAAUGUAUUUUCAUGACCUGAGACUACAGAAAUUGCCAUUUUCUUAGGACGUAGUUUACAUUUGACUCUGCUUACUGUGUCCAGGGCAUCCCCAAAUUGGGAGAGAUUGCCAAGUCAGUUGCCAUUUUGCCUUACUUUUACCAAGGACUAGCCUACAGGUUCAGUUUUGCUCUUGACUUUGGCCCUGAAUUGAGAACUGAGUCAAGAGAACAGAGUGGAAGUAUGGAGACAAAGCCAGCAGCUUUACUCAAAAAAUAUAUAUGAGUCUAGUAUUUUUUUUGUUUUUGAAAGACAUGUUACUGAGCCCAACCCAGUCAGGGAUCACUGAAUAUUGGGUUAAAUAAAACAAUAAUGUUAUUCAUGUGUUUGAAAUUAAUGUUUUAAAGAACCACGCACACACUUUAAAAUGUAACUGGAUUUGCUAUAUAGGCCAGAGAAAUAUGGCUGUUACGAUGAAGGCGUAACUUCUCUGGUUCUUGAUUAUUUACACCAUUAGAGAAGAAUGCAAAUAUGAAUAGCUCAGAGUAGUUUAACUUUGAAGUGAGAGUUUAUAUGCACCUUUAUAUGUGGGAUAACUGAUGUCUUUGGAAUAGACUUCAAAUGAAUGAUAAAAACACCUGUAAAGUGAUAGGACCUCUACUUUUUCUCAUGUCCAAUGUUCAGUUUCUUAUAAACCAGGCAUGAAGAGAAACAAAAAGUAAUUAAUUCUCCAGAUCAUGAAGUUGUCUUCAACCUAAGCACAGAGGUAUAAUAAUUACAUUUCUCAGAAGUUCCCCCUCUGUUUUGAGUCUCAAGGGCAAUUGAGAUGUCAGUGAGGCUGUGAUUAAAUGUAUUGGAUAUUAGAGGAUUUUAAAUACAAACAAGUAUUAUAGGUGUUACCACUGACCCCGAAGGUAAGAUUUACUGUGAAAAUUUAUAAUGCAAGGAAGAAUGAUCAAGUUGGCUGUCAGAACAACAAAAUAUUACAAACCAGGAUGUCUAAGAGCAGAAGUCCGUGGUUGCCACCUCUCAAGCCUCUUAGCUUAAUCCAAUCUAGGAUGCAUUUCCACUCUGCAACAAACAGUAUUUAUUUUUGCCUUAUUUGCAGAUAACAGUUUUAAUGCAGGUACUGCCCAUGGAUUAGCUUUGAGCAGUGUCUUUUUGCUUUGGUUUUUUUAUUUGUUUGGUUUGUUUUGAGACUGAGUCUCAGUCCUCCAGGCUGGAGUGCAGUGGUGUGACUUUGGCUCACUGCAACCUCUGCCUCCCGGGUUCAAGCGAGUCUCCUGCCUCAGCCUCCCAAGUAGCUGAGUCUACAGGCGUGAGCCACCAUCCCCGGCCAAGCAGUAUCUUUUUGCUUUGAAAGUGACUUACAUGUACAUUUGUUUUCCUUGUGAAUGUUUCUUUUUAACUGCAAACUAAGAAACAUUGAGCCCAGCAUUCAUAUAUUUGCAAACUCUGUCUUACUUAAUUUCUCAGUUUUUUUCCUCAGAAAAAAUGAAAUUCCUUUUCUUUUUUAAAUUUAUUUUUUCUUUAUUUUUCUUUAUAAAGUGAAGAGUAGGUAGCAUGAAUUCCUCUUGCCCUUUGCUAUUUCAGUCUGGCAUCAGUAGCAAUUGUUGCUAUGUCCAGUUUUCAUUCAUGGAUUUUUCUGGGAUUGAAGAUGAGUUCAAUGUUGAUUAUUUAAUUGGGCAGUAUAAGUAAAUUCAUUGGCUCUCCUUCCAGUUUAGUGAAUACUAAAUAUCAUCCAUGAUAUUUUAUACUUCUUACACUUCUGGAAUCUAACCUGAAAAUAGAAGUUGUAAGUCAGGGACGGUGGUAUGUGCCUCUAGUCUCAGCUAGUUGGGAGGCUGAGGCUUGAGCCCAGGCCUUCAAGGCUGUAGUGCACAAUGACUGUACUUGUGAAUAGCCACUGCACUCCAGCCUGGGCAACAUAGCAAGACUCCCACCCCUUAAGAAAAAAGAAGAGAGAAAAAAAUAGAAGUUGUGGAGAGGGAGGAGGAUGCUUGAAUACUUUGACCGUACUUGGCAUAAUAGACAUUUUGAGGGUUUUUUUGUUUUCUUAAAAUUCCUCUGGAUCAGUUUUCAUUGUUUCUAGUAAUUAUAUUUAUCGUUAAUGAAUUCAUAUUCUGCUCUAGCCCCUAAAGAUAGUUUGAUAUGCUAACUUUUGUUUUGCCUUUCUAGCUGCUAAGAUAGAUAAUGGUUAUUGCAAAAUGCACGUUUUUAAAUGGUCUCCAGUGUGGAUUGCUUCUGAGCUGCUGAUGGAUUGAAUACAUUGAGAAGGAAUGUGUCAUUUGGAAUCCAGGACCAGUCAGCAAGGAUAACUGCCUGAUUUUAUGGUCAGAAUGCUCUAACUCUUAUGGCAUACUGAUGACUUUUUCUUCCAUUUUCCAAAAAAGCAAGUUUUGUCAGUCUCAGUGUUUCUCUGAUCUAGCUACUCACAAUUCCAUUCCCAAAGUAGUGACCUAGUUCUGUCACUUGGGUUUCAAAGGGAGUUGAAGUGUCACUGAGUGAGUACAGCAAACCUGUUUAAUGAUUUAUAGGAAGCAAAUAAAAAGAAUUUUGUUUGCUAACCUAGAAGUAUAUCAGAUUUUGGUUUCAAUUUAUAAUUUUGCAAAAUAUAAAGACAUUUCCUGGCUAACUCCAUCCAGAUGAAUUAUUCAGUAUUUUUUCUCCUAUCUUAAUGAAGUUAAUUUGAAUGCUAAUUUCCUAUAACCAAGAAAACAGUUGAAUUAAAUAACCCUUAUCUUUUAAACUUAAAGCUUAUACUACUAAUAAUCAUUUAACAUUCACUUCCUUUUUUCUGACUUAAUUGGUAGGUAAAUAAAAUACUUCAAAUUUGAUUGGCAAAUUGGAAAAUCACUUAGAACAAUCUGCUAGUAUUUUUUAUUCCCUUUGUUUUUUCCUUUACACAUUUGUACUGCAAAAUAAAUCAAGGACAAAGACUCACACUGAAUUGAUCAACUUGUGUUUGGUCUUCAUGGGAAUUACAUCUUUUUUCCCCUCAACAUUUAUUAAAGGAACAUACAGAAUUUCAGACUAUAGCAAACUAAUACCUUUAGCUUGACUAAGAGUUGAUUUUCGUUAAGGAACAGAACUUGUAAUUUAUUUCGACAUACUUUAAUGUAUGACUCAUCCCUGUUAAAGUUGUGAGACUCAAAACUACGCCCAAAUCACUUAAUUUUAUGUCCUUCCCUGUUUACUGUGUCUGACCUUCAAGAUUUCGUGACUGAUGCUGAAAUGGAAGCCAACCACUGCAGAAAUUUGGGGGAAAAUGAGAUCUGAAGAAUACAAGGGGAAGUAGGAAUUCAUUUCUAGCAUUUCCAAACCUGCUUAAUCGUGUCUGCUCCACCACAGUCAGAGGAAAAGACUGAGUUCAUGGAAAUUACCAGCUAAGCCUUACAUCUGUCUUUAAUGUUUUUAGGAAGUAUACUGAAAAGGUAAGUGAGAUGUCUGUUUUGAAGAAAGACUCUUACUGGGUACCUUAAAACCCGUUGUUUCCUAUUAGUAAAGAUGGGCAGCUUCUUUAUUCCUAGCUUCAAAAAGCCUUGCCCCUGUUUGGUGUGUUUCUCAGUAUUGUGGAGAAGGUAGUUUCUGAGCAAGGUGGUGCUUUUCCUCUGCUUCUCAGCAGCUAAGACAGAAAUUGCACCGAAGUGUACAAAGGGCCAAUUUUUGUUGUCCUGUUGUGCUCAAAUCCUUUUUUUUAAAAAAGUUAUUUCAAUCAAGUCUUAGUUUUAUUCCUCACUAUAUAGGAAAAAAAUCUUUAAUGCCUCAAAAGUUCCAUUCAGCAUUACAUUUGCAUUACUCUUAUUUGCAGCAAAUAUGAGUAAAAUUAUAGGUUUUUAAAGGUCUCUAAUAACAUCCACUUAUAUUGGUUUUGUAGAUAAUCCAUAAAUUACCAGAAAUAAAUUAUUCCACAUUUAUUACACACCCAUGUAAUAGAUGUCGUGCCAGGCCCUGGAAUAUACUAAUGGCAUCACCUCAUGUGGUAAAAAGACACAUUCCGCCAUCCUGGAGUAUACAAAGGUAGACUAGCAUAUAGUUCAUGUGCUCAAGGAGUUCAUUUUUAUUGACAUGAUACAGAUAGAAUUGUAGUUUAGGGAAUCAAAAUCUAAUAAAAUGAGGCUAAUUCCAUUUUCCCAUUAACACUAAUAACUAGUGUGUAAAUCUGAAUAUGACACAUUCUAUAUGAAAGAAGCUCUGUGUGCAUCUACACUAAAUACUCGUGUGUGCCAGGUACUGUUUUAAACUACGUAUAUUUUUUUAAUUCUCAUAACUGUUCUCUGAGGUAUGUACUAAUACUAAAGCUUAUUGUUAAAGGAAGGCAGAAAAAUUAAGUAACUUGGCCUAAGUUUGCAUAACUGUGAUCUGGGAUCAAUAUUUGAACCCAUACAGGCUGAUUGCAGAGCCUGCACUCUUAAUUUGAGUGUGAUAUUUAUGUGCAGUACCUGGCUAUAAGUACCCACAAAACGUUUCAAAUUCUUUAUAAAAUUUGCUUAGUUAAAAAAGUACCAAUUGCAUAAUAUGGUUAUAAGUCUGGUAGAAGUUAGGCUUUUUACAAGACAUGCUGCUUACUGCACCAAGGAGGCAAGAAGGCUUUUUAGAGAGCCCAGAAUUUCCUUUCCUCAACUCCUGCUUCCAAGACAGUCAUUUUGCAUGAUAACCGUUUCCCCAAAAAACACAGACACAAAAUUUAAAGAACUGGAACAGAGGAAGCAGAGCUUAUCAUAGUAUAUAUGUUUAGUACCCUGUCACUUAGGUCCACCCCUCUUUCUUUGUGGAUUGUGGACAUUUUGUUUAACUGCUAAAUCAUGAGAAUAUAUGACUGCUGAGACUUUUCCAAGGAUUUUUUAAAAAACACAUUAGGCUUUGUGCAGAAGUAAAGAAAAAGUGCUGUGAGAACCCCAGGUAGGUAAUUUACUUUCUAUUGUACUCAUAGUUUGUUUGAAACCUCUUCACCUCUAUCCCUUAUUGUUUUAUACUCUGUAAAUCUGAUUUUACCUUUAAUAAACUUUUCUGAAGUGAGUGAGUUUUUUUUGUCUUAUUUCCCAUUAGAUUCUCUACCUUCUUUGUUCACUUUACGUAUGUUAUUGCCACUCCCUUCAAAACUGGUGGUUUAAUUAAAGUGACAGCAUCUUCUAUAUACCCAGUACUGUUGAGGAUUAAAAAAUACAUGUGUGCCGGAUGUGGUGGCACACACCUAUAAUCCUAGCACUUUGGGAGGCCUCAGGCAGGAGGAUUGCUUGAGCUAAGGAGUUCGAGACCAGCCUGGUCAACGUGGCAAAACCCCAUCUCUACUAAAAAGACAGAAAGUUAACUGGGCCUGAUGUUGUGCACCUCUCACCCCAGCUACUUGGGAGGCUGAGAGGUGGGAGGGUCACUUGAUCCUGGGAGGUCAACGCUGCAGUGAGCUGAGAACAAGCCACUGCACUCCAGCCUGGGCGACAAAGCGAGACCCUGUCUCAAUAGAAAAAAGAAAAAGUGCCAAGGCUUUGCUCCUAGUUCGGUGCAGGUUCCAACCAGUACUAAAACUUUGCAAAUUUUUGAGGGAAAAACCAGAAGUUGUAGAAUCAAUAUGAGCAUUUAAUUGUAUAGCAAGCAAUUGUGGCAGAAAAAAUUCACCCUAGUGAAAUCAAGUUAACUAUUCUGUGAAUGAGAUUAACCAGAGGAACAAUUUUGACCAUGUAUCUUUUAAAUCACUGUUUCUCAAACUUCAGUGUGUAUGGGAAUCACCAGGGAUCUUGUUAAAAUGCAGAUUUUGAUUUAGUAGGUCUGGGGUCAACCUGGAGAAUUUGAAUUUAUUUUCUCUUUUUUUAAAAGUAGUUUGAAAUAUAUUUCACAUACCAUAAAAUUCACUCUUUAAAACUGUCCAAUUAACUGUUUUUUAGCAUGUAGAGUUGUUCCACUAUCACCAUUCUAAUUUCAGGACAUUUUCACCGUGCUGAAAAAGAAACCUUGUACCUAUCACUCCCCAUCCCCCUCUCCCUUCCACCCUUUUCCCCUCCACCAGCAUCUGGCAACUGUUAAUCCACUUUCUGCCUUAAUUUAUAUCUUCUGGACAUUUCAUAACGUUUUAUAGACUUCUGUACCUGGCGUCUUUCACUUAGUGUUCAAGGUUCAUCGAUGUUGUAGCAUGUAUCAGUACUUCAUUCCUUUUUGUGGCUGAAUAAUACUCCAUUGUAUGGCUAUAGCACGUUUUCUGUGUCCCUGCAUCAGUUUCCAUUUUUUGGCUAUUAUGAAUAAUACAGCUAUGAACAUUUAUGUACAAG
rnacentral:lncRNA from 10 species